rnacentral:misc_RNA from 1 species
GAUGAAGAACGUAGCGAAAUGCGAGAAGUAAUGUGAAUUGCAGAAUUCAGUGAAUCAUCGAAUCUUUGAACGCACCUUGCGCCCUUUGGCCAUUCCGAAGGGCAUGCCUGUUUGAGUAUCAUGAACACCUCAACUCUUCAUGGUUUUCCAUGAUGAGCUUGGACUUUGGGGGUCUUGCUGGCCUGUGGGUCGGCUCCUCUCAAAUGAAUCAGCUUGCCGGUUUUUGGUGGGCAUCACAGGUGUGAUAACUAUCUACGCUUGUGGUUUUCCACCAGGGUAACCUUCAGCAGUGGAGGUUCACUGGAGCUUACAAAUGUCUCUCCUCUGUGAGGACAGCCCUUUGAAUGUUUGAUCUCAAAUCAGGUAGGACUACCCGCUGAACUUAAGCAUAUCAAUAAGCGGAGGA